CCGGUCUUUUCACCUAAUAUGCUCUUAUCUGGCAGUUAGCUAUCUGGAGGAUAAAUAUUUAUUCGCCAGAUAAAAUGUACCCGUCUUUUCACGUCAAUUUAUGUUCCAGUUAGUUAUCCGGUAGAUAAGCUUAAAAGUAAGUUUGGAUUCCGAACACACCUGACUUUUAUGUUUAUUUUUAUAAUUUCAGCUUUAACUUAACCUAACAUAAUUAGAUUCGAAGUAUUUCAAAGAUGAUUUUAUCGAUUUUAUUUCCAUUUUGGAAGAAGGAAUGAAGGAAAUAAGGAAAACAUUGAUUAUGCUGAAAUAGUUUACUGGAGAGCUUGAACAAGAGGUAAAUCCAUUUUAAAUUAGAGGAAAACUGUUGAUUUGUAUGUAAAAUAGAAGACAAAGACAAGUUUAAAUAAAGACAAGCUAGCUAAUGAAACAGAUGCAGUGAUAUGACAAACACCUAGAAGAUGGAAUCCUGUGUUCUCAAAGAAAAAGCUAGCUCCAGAAAUAAGCUACCAAUAAUAAACUAGAGAAUGUAUUACAAGAAAGAACAACGCUAAUACCCAACAUAGCUCAAUUGCUUCAGAUAGAAAAAGAGGAGGAAAGGGUAGAACACAAGCGUGCCAGAGAAAAUUAAAGGGCAGAAGAGACACAAAAAUUCAUUGAUUUAUUAAAUUUAAUAAUUAAAUUAUACAAAGGACAAUUAAAUAAAGAAUAAAAAAUUA
rnacentral:lncRNA from 1 species